AUACAUAAAAUCAAUUGUACAUAUCUAUUCUCUCAACGAUAACAGUGGGUUCACUAAUGAUUCUGAUAGUUACGAGUGACAGAUUGUGAAUCAUAGUGAAGCUUUCUUCCUCAUUAUUGCUCCCUAUAAAUUUAAGCAGAGAAAUCAUUCAUUUUCAUCCAACUUCUUCUCUUCUCAACCACAAGAAUACAUUAAAGAGCUCUAUUCUAUAAAUGGAGAUAUCCAAUGUGAUGCUUCUUGUAGCGGUCGUAACAGCGUAUUGCCUAUGGUUCAAGAGGAUCUCACGGUGGCUUAAGGGUCCCCGUGUCUGGCCCCUAUUGGGUAGUCUUCCUGGUCUCAUAGAGCAACGUGACAGAAUGCAUGACUGGAUCACCGAGAACCUCCGUGCGUGCGGCGGCACUUAUCAGACUUGUAUCUUCGCCGUGCCUUUCUGUUUCUUGGCUAGGAAGCAAGGUCUCGUGACCGUCACUUGUGACCUUAAGAAUCUCGAACACAUGCUCAUUGCUCAAGAACCGGUUCGAUAACUACCCUAAAGGUCCUACAUGGCAAUCCGUCUUCCAUGAUCUUCUCGGUCAAGGCAUUUUCAGUUCCGACGGUGACACCUGGACGUUGCGGCAAGCCAUGGGUAGGUGGGUAAACCGAGGAAUUAAGCUCCGGUUCUGUCCAAUCCUUGAAACGGCUCAAGCCAAAUCAGAACCGGUUAAUCUCCAAGACUUAAUACUACGGCUCACAUUCGACAACAUUUGCGGAUUGGCGUUUGGUAAGGACACACGAACCUGUGCACCGGGGCUCCCCGAGAUCAGCUUUGCCUCUGCAUUCGACCGUGCCGCUCCAACGGUUUAUCAUACCCGAGUUCAUGCGGAAGCUGAAGAAAUGGCUAGGGCUUGGAUUAGAAGUCAGCGUGAGCCGAAGCUUAGGAGCUGUCAUAAAUACACGUAAGCAGGAACUGAUGAGUCAGCAAAAUUUAUAAAUUUUUCCGCAACUGUGAUAAUCGAACCACCAACUCACACUCCUCCACCCAACCCUUUACCAAUAGAACUUCGAUAAGAGGCUUUUUAAGAAAACAGGGCUGAGAAAUAUAUAAUUAGAAGCGGACCGCAAGCACAUGCUCUGUGCAUUAUUUAUAAGUUGUUUGAUACAUCAUAAAAAUCAUAUAUACAUGAAAGCCAUCCUUAAUAAUUAGCAUAUAGAUCUUAUCUUCUAUCUUUUUGUUCUAUCUUUUUGCUGAGCCGAUCUUAUCUUCUAUUUUUUUGGUGAGCCGAUCUUAUCUUCUGUGACGAGAAUAACAAGAACUAAUGAUUUUCUAUGUCGUAAGUGAAUGAUUAACAUGAUUAAUAUGA